AUAUAUCGUAUAUCGCGAUAUAGUCAGUAAAUAUCGCGAUAUCAUUUAGAGACCAUAUCGCCCAGCCCUAUAGCAGCCCUGUAAUACUUUGGUACUACAUCUUUGUGUGUGUGUUGAGGCCUUACAGAUGGAGAGCGCUCCACAGAGAGUAACAGCGUCCUGAGGCCCAUCUUCCCUCAAGUGCUGCCUGAGCCUGUCAAACCGCUGCCAGAACAAAGCUCCCAGAAGAAAUUAUCCAACAAGAGAGGGCCGCCCAUCCUUCAGAAUCGUCUUCAGAAGAAGGGCAACGGUACAGUCACAGUGGAGGAAAAGAAAGAAAAAGGGGAGGAAGAGGGGGUCAUCAGCUGGCGAGGUGCAGUGGUUGAUACUGAUAAGGACACAGAAGAAGCCAAGGAUGGGGAAAGUAAGGAUAAUUUACUUGCCAACCAUAAAUCUGGAUCUUCAAACCAGUCAGAAGCUAGCUUGUUGGAGGCUGUGAAGGACGCUUUUAGACAUGCAUGGCAGGGUUAUAAAGACUUUGCUUGGGGCCACGAUGAGCUUCGGCCCCUCUCCAAGUCCUACAGCGAGUGGUUCGGUUUGGGUUUGACGCUUAUCGAUGCCCUGGACACCAUGUGGAUCCUUGGCCUCAAAGAAGGUAGACUGAGCUUUGUGCCUUUCAACUUUAAAAUGUUACUGUCCACUAGUCAUAACUGACAGAUAAACCCCACAACCACCCAAUCAUCUUCUAAGGAUUAAAUACUCAUCUCCUGUAUGCUAGAAAGGUUGAAAAUUGGGAGAGAAAAACACAAUGCCUGCAGCGAUUGGAAGACACAACCCUGCUGUUCGCAUCAUUCAUAUUGUAGCAUACUGAAAGAAUGGGUAUUGGAUACUGUCGUGGCUUCCUUCCUUGUUUUUCCAUCAAGCCACUAGAAAGUCAAUGCGGUCCUUCCUUGUUCACUAUGAAGUCCGUGAUUUGUAAACUCACGAUUCACAUCCGCUCGUAUCCAUUCAUUUCCAAGAGUAUUUCAUUCAUUAUAAUAAUAUGGUGGCAACCAUUUAAUUCCACACGGAUUUGUCCGUCACAACAGUUUUUAACAAUGUCGUGGCUUCCUUCCUUGUUUUUCCAUCAUGCCACUAGACGCCUUAAA